rnacentral:rRNA from 1 species
ACGGAGGAUGCGAGCGUUAUCCGGAUUUAUUGGGUUUAAAGGGAGUGCAGACGGGUCGUUAAGUCAGCUGUGAAAGUUUGGGGCUCAACCUUAAAAUUGCAGUUGAUACUGGCGUCCUUGAGUGCGGUUGAGGUGUGCGGAAUUCGUGGUGUAGCGGUGAAAUGCUUAGAUAUCACGAAGAACUCCGAUUGCGAAGGCAGCACACUAAUCCGUAACUGACGUUCAUGCUCGAAAGUGUGGGUAUCAAACAG